GGGUGCGAUCAUACCAGCACUAAUGCACCGGAUCCCAUCAGAACUCCGCAGUUAAGCGUGCUCUGGCGAGCGUAGUACUAGGAUAGGUGGCUCCCUGAGAAGUCCUCGUGUUACACCCA